UGAAUACUCCCUCCGUCUGAAAAUACUUGUCGUAAAAAUGGAUACAAAUGGAUGUAUCUAGAACUAAAAUACAUCUAGAUACACCCAUUCCGCGGACAAGUAUUUCCGGAUGUAGGGAGUACAAA
rfam:Triticum aestivum genome assembly, contig: Triticum_aestivum_CS42_TGACv1_scaffold_034234_1BL